UGCAGAGCAGGCUGUUUUGGGACUUUUAAUUGCUGCAGUUAGUAGGAAAGCUUUUUAUUCCUAAAUGACUAAAAGCCACAGUUUGCUGAGCAAAUGAAGCAGAGUCUGCAAACCGCAAAUUUACUUUGGAUGUCUUCUCGCAUUCCUAACCAUCAUUACAUUCGGCAGUGCAAUCCCAUUGUAGCUGAUGGGCAGAAAAAGUGGGCACCAUGCCAGGUAGACGUUUCCAUGACUCCCAGCCCCCAAAGGUGAUGCAUUUUUCAGCUAAUUCAGUCAAGAGUGGGCUGAACUCUGGUUCUGACUAAGACAAUAGCAGCCUUUGCAGCAUCAGCAGAAUGUUUUAUGGGAAUGCACUAUGCUGUUGGCAGAGGACCAUGUGACCAUAUGACUGAGAUUCUAUCAUGGUGCCAAGACAGCCUUGGGAAGCAGCUCCCAGUCUGAGUUUUUUCCCUUUUUUCUUCCAUGGUUUAGAAAAUGGCAGAUCUGAGUGAAUUUAACUGCACUCAGGGAACGAUUCAGCUUUCAAGCACAACUUCCCCUUUAUGCUGGCUUUUUUGGCAGGACACCAGGAGGCUGUCCUUUUUUAUGCCUGAUAAAUUGUGUUGCUUAUUGUCCCGAGAGGUACAAAUGCAAAGUUAAAUAGCGUAUUUAAGCUUCAUAACUGAAUAUUUAAACUGCAUAUUUAGUUUUUAAUUGAUUACUUCUUAUCUUGAGCAGCCUUUUUUGGUAAGACCAGUAAAUAAAAAUGAUCUCCUUCUAAUGAACAGGCAUUUGGACUGGGCAAACAGGCUGACAACAUUCAGCAUGAGAUCAGUGCAGCAGUGUGUUCUAAACUGGCACCCUGCCUUUUCACCCCUUUGCUUCAGCCGAUUUGCACAACUCCCCAUUCAUAAAAAGUCGAUGCAAACUGGAUGUAUUUAACUGUUACUACAUCCCUGGAUUUCCACUAAGGUUCAGGCCAUUGUGGAGGAUUUGGUGUAUGUUCUGCGCAAUGCUUUGUGGUUGGAACUUUGACUAAGAAGGGGGAAGGAAAGGGGGGACCCACUGGUACCAUUCUGAGUAUCACAUCUUCUGAAGAAACAAAACUGAGUCCUUCACACAAGAGUACUGAAAAUCCAAGACAGCUGCAGUACCAGAAAUUGAUGGCAUGUGAAAGAAAUCAAGAAAGUGCUUGCAAAAGAAAUAAACACGUGCAGACUGCUUCAUCGUCAUAAACAGAAUAGAGCAGAUAUUUGCAUAUGUUUUAAUAUUUAGUGGUGGUUUAAUGAUGCCCUGUCCUGCUGGGUGUUGUUUUAAUUUCAGAUAAAAAUGAAGAUAUCUUUUGAAAAUUCUGAACUGUGGAAAUCAACCAAGUGACAGUAUAACAUGAAGGAAAUGGACUUUGGGCAUAGCAUCAGUUGGUCUGGAUCAGCGCCGCUAUAAUCGAAGUGGAUAAUUCUGUUCCGUACAAGUCAACAUAAGAGAUACCAGCCUGGAAAUCAUGAAUUACAGCUCUUAUAUAGACCAAGAAAUUCAGAAAUGAAUUCAGAGACUACCGAAGAGCUUUCAGAGUUUAGAAAAUAUAUUAGAAAAAGAAAUCUACAACCAUGACUUUGUGGUUUUCCGAUCUGAGAUUACAUUUACUAUAAAAACACAAGAAAACUGAGCUCUGUGAGGUGGGCAACAUCUUUAAAAGAUUUGUGUUAAUGUGGCUAACAACAACAAAGGCAGUAAUGGGUUCUCACAAAUGGCAUCUAGGAAAAAAGUGUAUGGCAAAACAGGAAAAUGAGCUAAGAAAGUUGUUAUACAGGGUGACACAGCCUUGGAGGAAAGAAACUUUUCAACUACAUUAUCAGGCCUAAAGUCCAUAGACAGACAUCAUGCAAACUCUAAGUGCUUCAGCUGCUUACCUUCCUCCACAGACCUUGUGAUUUCAGUAACUGAGAGUUGCAGAAUUCCUUUAACCCAAGAAUGUCCAGAUUUCCUUUCUUUUUUAAAUUAAUUAAUAGUGCGCUAUAAACUCUUUUUUUCCUAAUACAUUCUUGUGUUCACCUUCUUGGGUGGUGUGGUUAGACACAGAUUUUAAAUUUCUUAACCUAUUAUUGUUUUUUGUUGUUCGACGAUAGUUAAAUUAUUUUGGCCCUAUAUUUGGGAGCUCAUUUCAUAGUAUGCUGUAUUACAGAAAAAAAUAAACAGUGUUCUUUUGGCAGCAUUAUCAUCAUGGCAGCAAAGCAGUCUAAGAGAACAGAAACGGGCACCUCCGACUGCGAGAUAUUAAACUUCACCUGGUCCCUGAGACCCUAACUUGUGAGGACUUUUGGCAUAAGUCACAGGUUGGGCUUUUGGGACCUAGGUGGAGUAGAACCUACACCUGUCAGAACUUUAAGACUUAGACACCCUAAGGCAGAGAAUAACAUGCAGUCAUGGACAUUGUCUAUUUUUCUUUCAGAGCAAAGAGCAUAACUGCAGUUGAUGAGAAAACUAUUCCUUUGCUCACUUACACUCAGUAUUUCAGUCUGUGUGCUUGUUUUCUUGAGUCUUGCUCUGCUUUUGAAAGGGAUAUGCACACUAAAAUGUUGCCCUCCUUUUACAACAGAACUGGCCAAGCGUCUUACCAUUUUUAAUGAGUCAGUGGCUUUUUUAGUAGUCAAUCUGUUCCUCAUAGCAGAGCACAUCAGUGUAACUGAACUUAUGAUAUAAUGUUUGUCAAUAAAUGUAAUCUCCAAUAAUA